rnacentral:rRNA from 1 species
AUUGAACGCUGGCGGCAGGCUUAACACAUGCAAGUCGAGCGGUAGCACAAGAGAGCUUGCUCUCUGGGUGACGAGCGGCGGACGGGUGAGUAAUGUCUGGGAAACUGCCUGAUGGAGGGGGAUAACUACUGGAAACGGUAGCUAAUACCGCAUAACGUCGCAAGACCAAAGAGGGAGACCUUCGGGCCUCUUGCCAUCAGAUGUGCCCAGAUGGGAUUAGCUAGUAGGUGGGGUAAUGGCUCACCUAGGCGACGAUCCCUAGCUGGUCUGAGAGGAUGACCAGCCACACUGGAACUGAGACACGGUCCAGACUCCUACGGGAGGCAGCAGUGGGGAAUAUUGCACAAUGGGCGCAAGCCUGAUGCAGCCAUGCCGCGUGUGUGAAGAAGGCCUUCGGGUUGUAAAGCACUUUCAGCGAGGAGGAAGGUGGUGAACUUAAUACGUUCAUCAAUUGACGUUACUCGCAGAAGAAGCACCGGCUAACUCCGUG